rnacentral:rRNA from 1 species
CCUACGGGAGGCAGCAGUGAGGAAUAUUGGUCAAUGGUCGGGAGACUGAACCAGCCAAGCCGCGUGAGGGAGGAAGGUACAGAGUAUCGUAAACCUCUUUUGUCAGGGAACAAAGGCGGGGACGUGUCCCCGGAUGAGUGUACCUGAAGAAAAAGCAUCGGCUAACUCCGUGCCAGCAGCCGCGGUAAUACGGAGGAUGCGAGCGUUAUCCGGGUUUAUUGGGUUUAAAGGGUGCGCGGGCGGUCUGUUAAGUCAGCGGUAAAAGCCCGGGGCUCAACCCCGGCCCGCCGUUGAACCUGGCAGUCUCGAGUUGGAGAGAAGUAUGCGGAAUGCGCGGUGUAGCGGUGAAAUGCAUAGAUAUCGCGCAGAACUCCGAUUGCGAAGGCAGCAUGCCGGCUCCACACUGACGCUGAGGCACGAAAGCGUGGGUAUCGAACAGGAUUAGAUACCCUGGUAGUC